UUCGACGCGUCCACGGUUCGACUCGACUCGGCUCUCGCGCGCCACCCGCACACUCUGUGCCCUGACCUCCUCUUCUCUGGCAUUUACCGACGAACACGAACAAAUUCGUCUCUAAAAUAUUCAACGAUUUCGGAAAACGAAACUCGCAGAAUUAUACGCGGAGAGAACUGUCGAAGCUGCUUACCGGAACAACGCCAAGAUCGAAAUUUUCUAAAUACCGUUUUCUAGGUACCGCAGGUGUAGGCAGCCGACUUCGUACUUUCGAUCUUGGACAUUUUUUGGGAACGAUAGUCGACGGGUGACGUUAUCGAGUCAAGACUACCGAUUCGAGAGGGGCACCUUCGGAGAAAUUUGCGAUUUCUUCGAGUUAACCGAGCGUCGAAGAAUUUCGGAAAGAUCGAUAUUCUUGGUAAGAUAAUGGCCAGUCGUUUGAACUAGCGCGAUUUUCAGCCCCGUGAAUGUCCAUGCGACAAAGUUAACGCAACAUUCCCAUGAUAUAUACAUGUAUAGACGCAAUGUUUUUAACGUUGACAGGUUUAUUAGGUUGUUUCUGAAAAAUUGAAUCGAAUGAACGAUCACGAUCAUUAACCGUGCAGUUAUGUUUGAUCGUUUAAUCGAUCGUGCACGAGCUACGGAUGAAUGCUACGAUGAAAUGAGGAAUCAACCAGACAGCGUAGACUCGGAAACGGUAUUCAACUUUAUUAAUUGUAUAAAACGGGAGAGUGCUCGUCGCAGCAAAUACAUACCGAACGAAUCCAUUAUCUUCGCGUUUGACACAUUUGUAAUAGUUGUAAGAAACGUUGAAUGUCACAUAGAAAAUUGAAAAAGGUCGCAACGUUUGUUGUUAAAUUAAUUUGAACGCUAGGUACAAGGACUAUCACAAGAUAUACUAGACGACCAUCCACGAGAAGCGAUCUCGUUUCUCUCGACGCGACCUUCAUUGUUCUCCGACUGGCAAAGAGUCGAAAAUCGAGAGAACACGACUCGCCUCACUUUUCUCUAAGCCUUUGUUCAAAAAGACUGCAUCGCGCGCUAAGCGCAACAUUAUUCGGCUAACGUGCGUUGGUUGCUUUAGAAAAAUAUGGAAACCACCGCGAAGCGUCCUCUUUGGAAAAUCAACUUUGGAUUUGAAGCUUGAAAUUGACGCGAGAAGUGAAGCGGUCCAUAAACGCUCGCUGAGUUCUGUAGUUUGUUCGGCCGAGAACAUUCGAAAAUUCGAAAUUUCGACAUUCGAAAAUUCGAACGUUUGAUAACAUUUCAUAGUAAAUCGUCGGCUGCCAUUUGGCCGAGAUCCUGCUCGGCCGGUAAUCCUACGGCGCCUUCGGCGUCCGCCUCUGGGCCGGCGGGCAUCACUACUUCCGGUUGAGUGGUUGGUUCCGUAGACUGCAACAGACCCAUUCCUAUAGGAUUUGCCCCGGCGUCUAGCACCGGGUCGGCAGUGGCUUCCGCAAGGUUCGUUACGGAUUUCGAUUUUAGGCACUGGAAGUCGACGUGUCGACUUUUCGCCUCCUCCUUCUCCCAGGACAUGUGAAUGAAAGGCCUCUGCACGUAAUUGUAAAUCACCUCGGACCGUCCUCCCGCUCUUGUCUUCACUUUCUCCUUGUAGGUAGGAUAGCCUUCGAUGCCCAAGCGGAUCUUUUUCAGGCAGCGUUCCUUCAUCACCUGCUUGGCCACAUCCCUGUUCUCGAUGUACUUGAAAAACCGAUACAUCGCGGUGCUGUUGACGGCUAUUGGAAAGUAAAAAAAAAUACUUUGGUCGACUUUUACUGUCAGAGAACCGUUUUGUUUCGACCGUGCGUUUACAUUGUCUUGUGAAUGUUUUAGAAACGAAAAAGCCAUGUAUUUUCGCGUGCAUCUCAUCUUUCCAAUCGUUCUGACAGAAUCGGUGGAUUUGACACGGUGAAAUUGCGUCUCGGCGGAUUUAAUAUGGUCGGAAGUGUUGCAAACAACACGGUCGAUGUGGUUAUUGAUUUUCUAUUUUAUAGGAAUAUUCAUCAUACCGUGGCAAGGUAGUGUAUUUCCAACCUUGGUGUCGCGAAAAAAUGAGAAAGUAAUAAAAAUAAAGUUACCGUUCGCGCACUUACUUUGCGAGUACUCCUCUCCCAUUUGCGGGGGAUAUUCUUCGUCCCAGUCGACGGUAUCGUCUUCCAGUAAAACGACGAUAUGGCAUUCACGGUCACCUCUACGCGCACUGUUUACCAUCAGGGGCAACAUCAAGUCCUCGAGGAACACUUCGAACUGGCAGCGCGCGCCUUCGUUAGACAACUCAUAAUUGAAGGAAUGACAGUGCCUUUCAUUGCUUCCAUCUCUUUGAACCAGACAAGAUUUUGGUUUGGAAGAGCCACCACAACUACAUGCAAAACAACGACAUUACCUUUCUAAUGACUGCAUUCGACAAGCAUCGUGUAUUAUCUACAAUUCUAAUACGAUAACUAGUUUGAAUCGAGAAUCGUUGACAACAUUGUUUGCUUCUUUUAAUAAACGAGUCCAACGAAAAGACAACUAAAAGUAAGUAACUGCACGGAAAGCAUACACAAAAUGAGUAACACAAGUCUACGAUUGCAAGAUGUUAAAGAAAGUACAGGAACUUGUAUCGAAUAAUGUAAAAUGCUGGAUGAAUGUCGAGUAAAUCAUUCCUCGAUAUAUCGAUUUCCAUCUAAUCUAAUAUUCAAGAUAUAUGUGAGAAAAGAAUAUUUGUUCUUAAUUAAAAAAUUAAUUUCAUGCAUGUAACAUAAUGUAUGACAACAGCCUUAAAUACAUGCUACGAUAUAAACAUAUAGUUACCGAAGUAGAAUUUUAAAAGGAGUUAUAAAUUGUGGAUAAAACAAUUAUGUUAUCGUUCAUCUAAGAUGAGCUUAUAAUAACGUUUUUAUCAUAGAGACAAAAAAUUAAACUACUAAUAUAUUGUAUAUUCUUAAUCAAGGUACGCUGUUUCUCCUUGCUUUGUUCUAUAUCGAGAAAUAUAAUUGCUUGUAUUUUCUGUACGAAAAA